rnacentral:rRNA from 1 species
UACGAAGGGGGCUAGCGUUGCUCGGAAUCACUGGGCGUAAAGCGCACGUAGGCGGACUCUUAAGUCAGGGGUGAAAUCCUGGAGCUCAACUCCAGAACUGCCUUUGAUACUGGGAGUCUUGAGUUCGGGAGAGGUGAGUGGAACUGCGAGUGUAGAGGUGAAAUUCGUAGAUAUUCGCAAGAACACCAGUGGCGAAGGCGGCUCACUGGCCCGGUACUGACGCUGAGGUGCGAAAGCGUGGGGAGCAACGGGG